CAGUUCGGAUUGCAGUCUGCAACUCGACUGCAUGAAGCUGGAAUCGCUAGUAAUCGCGGAUCAGAAUGCCGCGGUGAAUACGUUCCCGGGUCUUGUACACACCGCCCGUCACACCAUGGGAGUCAGUAACGCCCGAAGUCAGUGACCGAACCGAGAGGACGGAGCUGCCGAAGGCGGGACGGAUAACUGGGGUGAAGUCGUAACAAGGUAAC
rnacentral:rRNA from 1 species